UUGUAGUGAAAUAAUGUCAAAAUUUCAUGGUCACAUUUUUCAGCUCAAAGUCACUCAGAUACAUGUUUUAUGCCAUUUGGAGUGGAUUUGGACAAGUUUUAGGUGAAUUCGUUGAAAAAGUUGACACCCGCGUUUUUGAUGUUGGCCACCAUUUUUGGUGACUGCGACAGGCAGUUUGUAGUGAAAUAAUGUCAAAAUUUCAUGGUCACAUUUUUCAGCUCAAAGUCACUCAGGGACAUGUUUUAUGCCAUUUGGAGUGGAUUUGGACGAGUUUUAGGUGAAUUCGUUGAAAAAGUUGACACCCGCGUUUUUGAUGUUGGCCACCAUUUUUGGUGACUGCGACAGGCAGUUUGUAGUGAAAAAAUGUCAAAAUUUCAUGGUCACAUUUUUCAGCUCAAAGUCACUCAGGGACAUGUUUUAUGCCAUUUGGAGUGGAUUUGGACAAGUUUUAGGUGAAUUCGUUGAAAAAGUUGACACCCGCGUUUUCCUUUUGGUUACCACUUUUGGUGACUGCGACAGGCAGUUUGUAGUGAAAAAAUGUCAAAAUUUCAUGGUCACAUUUUUCAGCUCAAAGUCACUCAGGGACAUGUUUUAUGCCAUUUGGAGUGGAUUUGGACAAGUUUUAGGUGAAUUCGUUGAAAAAGUUGACACCCGCGUUUUCCUUUUGGUUACCACUUUUGGUGACUGUGACAGGCAGUUUGUAGUGAAAAAAUGUCAAAAUUUCAUGGUCACAUUUUUCAGCUCAAAGUCACUCAGGGACAUGUUUUAUGCCAUUUGGAGUGGAUUUGGACAAGUUUUAGGUGAAUUCGUUGAAAAAGUUGACACCCGCGUUUUUGAUGUUGGCCACCAUUUUUGGUGACUGCGACAGGCAGUUUGUAGUGAAAUAAUGUCAAAAUUUCAUGGUCACAUUUUUCAGCUCAAAGUCACUCAGGGACAUGUUUUAUGCCAUUUGGAGUGGAUUUGGACAAGUUUUAGGUGAAUUCGUUGAAAAAGUUGACACUCGCGUUUUUGAUGUUGGCCACCAUUUUUGGUGACUGCGACAGGCAGUUUGUAGUGAAAUAAUGUCAAAAUUUCAUGGUCACAUUUUUCAGCUCAAAGUCACUCAGGGACAUGUUUUAUGCCAUUUGGAGUGGAUUUGGAUGAGUUUUAGGUGAAUUUGUUGAAAAAGUUGACACCCGCGUUUUCCUGUUGGUUACCACUUUUGGCGACUGCGACAGGCAGUUUGUAGUGAAAUAAUGUCAAAAUUUCAUGGUCACAUUUUUCAGCUCAAAGUCACUCAGAUACAUGUUUUAUGCCAUUUGGAGUGGAUUUGGACAAGUUUUAGGUGAAUUCGUUGAAAAAGUUGACACCCGCGUUUUUGAUGUUGGCCACCAUUUUUGGUGACUGCGACAGGCAGUUUGUAGUGAAAUAAUGUCAAAAUUUCAUGGUCACAUUUUUCAGCUCAAAGUCACUCAGAUACAUGUUUUAUGCCAUUUGGAGUGGAUUUGGACAAGUUUUAGGUGAAUUCGUUGAAAAAGUUGACACCCGCGUUUUUGAUGUUGGCCACCAUUUUUGGUGACUGCGACAGGCAGUUUGUAGUGAAAUAAUGUCAAAAUUUCAUGGUCACAUUUUUCAGCUCAAAGUCACUCAGGGACAUGUUUUAUGCCAUUUGGAGUGGAUUUGGACAAGUUUUAGGUGAAUUCGUUGAAAAAGUUGACACCCGCGUUUUUGAUGUUGGCCACCAUUUUUGGUGACUGCGACAGGCAGUUUGUAGUGAAAUAAUGUCAAAAUUUCAUUGUCACAUUUUUCAGCUCAAAGUCACUCAGGGACAUGUUUUAUGCCAUUUGGAGUGGAUUUGGACGAGUUUUAGGUGAAUUCGUUGAAAAAGUUGACACCCGCGUUUUCCUGUUGGCCACCAUUUUUGGCGACUGCGACAGGCAGUUUGUAGUGAAAUAAUGUCAAAAUUUCAUGGUCACAUUUUUCAGCUGAAAGUCACUCAGGGACAUGUUUUAUGCCAUUUGGAGUGGAUUUGGACAAGUUUUAGGUGAAUUCUUUGAAAAAGUUGACACCCGCGUUUUCCUUUUGGUUACCAUUUUUGGUGACUGCGACAGGCAGUUUGUAGUGAAAUAAUGUCAAAAUUUCAUGGUCACAUUUUUCAGCUCAAAGUCACUCAGGGACAUGUUUUAUGCCAUUUGGAGUGGAUUUGGACAAGUUUUAGGUGAAUUCGUUGAAAAAGUUGACACCCGCGUUUUUGAUGUUGGCCACCAUUUUUGGUGACUGCGACAGGCAGUUUGUAGUGAAAAAAUGUCAAAAUUUCAUGGUCACAUUUUUCAGCUCAAAGUCACUCAGGGACAUGUUUUAUGCCAUUUGGAGUGGAUUUGGACAAGUUUUAGGUGAAUUCGUUGAAAAAGUUGACACCCGCAUUUUUGAUGUUGGCCAUCACACCACAAAAAAUGGCAUGGUACAGGAAGGUGUCAAGAAAUGUCAUAGUCAAGUAUAGGAUCAAAAACCACCAAAACAUGUCAUAGUAUAGUAUGACAUGUAUAACCAUAUUCUAUAAAUGUUGUGGUUCAGCUGUAAUGUUGAAUAUGUAUGUGUUUUCAUGGUUAAACUAUUGAUGAGGAUUCGGUAGGUACUGAUCAUCUUCCUUUGUGUGUUUCUCUUUGAUUUCCUCCAGGUGUCACCACUUCGUCCAUGACAAUGUCCACAAUUGCUGAGUCGUCGUCCAUCAUCUGAGAUAUUGUCAAGGAUAAGGGAGAGAAUGGAACUGUCUUAAAGCAGCCAUCUUACCUUUGUUUCCCACAGACACACACAUAUUCACACACUCACACACACUGUUUGUGGGUUAGGUUAUAGUUUGUGUUUUUCAUUUCAUUUUGGUGUUUUGUUUUUUCAAAUACUGCAAUAUCAGUACUCAAAUCAUAUAUGUUACUGUGUACAGAGUCCUGUUUAUACUGUUCAUAGUGUUUAUAAGUUUUAUGAAUUGUGAUAUUAUUAUCAUGUCCUUUUCUGUUUUCACUGUUGCAACAUUGUUGAUUUCCCUGCUGUGAGACUAAUAAAGUAUUGUUUUACUCUUACUCAAAUAAACACUUCUGAACAUUGAA